rnacentral:ncRNA from 1 species
AAAAAAGAAGCGCCGGGCCUGUAAUCCCACCAGCAGGUGACGAGGAAAGGGAUCAUCGAAUCUUUCGGCGGAAGUCCCUUCGGCGAAACUGUUUUCACGGGUUUUGUCGUUAGGCUGAGAGCAAAAACGCACGAGUGAUCGUCCAACAGAGG